rnacentral:lncRNA from 1 species
AAAGGCAGGUCCAAAUCUAAUCUCCCUCUUAGAGGACUAGAGGAAUUGUAGAGUUCUCUCUCAAUUGUCCGACGGUGCACGAUCGGUCCGAGAUCGAAAUGGAAAACCUGGACUCUCUCGGGCUCAGGCUGUUCGAGAGAAAUCGCACGGUGGUCCCGCGACUCCCGGCUAAUGCACCAUCGUGCAUUACGAGACGGCGGCGGCGUUAUCUGUCUCCUUCCUUCGCCGGUCCACCACCGUUCAGCAGCAGGCAGCAGCAGCAGCGUGCCCAGUAUACCCCGUACCACCUCUUCCCCGGGGCCGCGCUGUCACCGCUCGCUCGCCGUUCUUUCCUACGGUCUGCCUCCCGCAGCGCUUAGCGAGUGUUGAUCUGCCUUCGUGUACAUCCACCCAGGCACUAAGCACACGCGGCUGGCCCCCUCGCCGGGCAACGUCGUCGCCGGACGACGUUCGCGCCUAAUCGCCGCUCCUCCGCGGUGCACGGCACACACGCGGGCCGCGGCUAAUGCUCCACGAGAGCGAGUCGCUUCCGAUUCCGCCCCGCGGUAGUUUUCGGGUCAAGGUCAGCCCCCUGCCGAUGACGGUGCCCGAGGCCUCCGGAGGAGGGAGGGGGGGGAGGGACGGACGCUCCUAUUCCUCCCCGGCGAUCGUCCCGCUGGUCCCGCUCGUUCCCCUUUCCCGACCCGCGAAAAGCAUGACGGUGAUCACCUUGACACGCGAGUGUACCUUCCGCGAUGGAGCAUAACGUGCGGCAGCAGCCGCCCGGUGCGCCAAAUCUCCACCUCCACCGUUUCCCCGCGCGGCACGGAAUCCUAAUCCGACAUCCUCAACAUUGACAUGUUGAUAAACGAACGACGCGUCAUGAUUAUCGUGUUCAUCUUCCUGCCCAGGGAGUACUUGUUCUUGCGUCGGCGGAUCACGAUCUUUUUCGGCUUCAUGUACCUCACGUUUCGACGAUACAUCGUUUCUGUCGGGCGGUCCAGGUUACACCGGCGAUCCAAAUCGCCGCGCUGGCCGGCGGUCCCGAGGUCUCUACGAGCGUCCUCGCGCCCGGAUGAUGUCAACGAGCCUCUCGCGGGGGGGUGUCCACCUACUCACACGAGAAACCGUAUACGACUAAUCCGCGUUGCGUAAGCUGCCUCUUUCACCAUCCGGGCGAUCCAUCCGGCGUGAUCGAUCACUUCGCAGCCUCCGGGCGUCCCUGACACGUUCCUCCCAGGUUGCGAAAGUUCCUCCCCUUAGAUGACGAUGGCUGUCGCCGGCCCGAAUACGCUGUCCGUACGCGUUUUCCCUUCUAUCAGGGGGCGAGUGGCGCAGAGCGGUAGUCGCGUGGAGAUCAUUUUCCUUGGAGGAACCUUGCGGCGCGCGCGCGCGUGACUUCAAUGACCGACGAGAGAAAUGCGAAAGCGAUUUUUGCCUUCGGCCGAGGCGGAAACGGGGCGCGAUGCCGGUCGACGACAACCGCGUCCGAUGUCGGCGAUGUCGUACGGACGGCAACUGAGCGUAAACAGGCAGCGUCGUCGACGAAUUGCUGCCGCGCGCAGCUCGACGAGGCGCUGUUAAAUGUGACAAUUCGUUGAUAAAGUAAUCACUACUACGCACGGUCCCAGCGCGUUCUACAGUCGGAGCCUAUUUUAAACAGGGCCGUCCAAGUGCGGCCAUUAUCUGCGACGGUGAAUUCAAAGCUGUCCGCGCGACUCGGCAGCUCGAGCGACGUCGUCGCUAUCGCGAGCAAUUUUCCACCGGCUCCCUGGGACUACCGCGGAUUUUCCCGAUGUACACGUCGCUCGUCAUCGUUCAUUCGCGCGGUUUCGCUCGUUCGGACCGAGAGCCCGCUCCGGAGCCUCGUCCGUGUCCCGGAUUCGACCGGGCCUUGACUCUGGUGGGGCCUUGUGUCACGCGUGUCGUGAAAUCCUCCGAGUUUCGUGUGGCUCGGUACCCGCGAAAUCGAAACGGACGAUAAUCCGCAAGGUCGCGUCCGAACGACGAAAGACAUCUAGAGGCGGCCCUGGCUUAAGUCUGACGUAUGAUACCGUCAAGUACCGAAAAGACCGACCUUGCCAAUCGUUUGAGAUCCACUAUGGAGGACACGGCCAACGUACAGAGGUUCUCCAUCCCCGGUUUGACCGGCGAUUAUCGCAUCCUCUGGUACUUCACCGUUGCUGCAGAACUCCCAUGCAAAUUCUCCCUGACAUAAGACCUGGCAAUAUCACAAUAACUGAGAGUGUCAAUCUCUGAUGGAGCGGUAAAGCAAUACAAAGCUUCGCACGAUGCUCAUGUCACGUUUCUCGUAACGUAAAGAAGAAAAUCUGUUGAUUUUGCACUUUCUUCGCACCUCGUAAUUAUCUUUGGGAU